GUCACCACGUACACAUGAUGAGACAGAGAAGGUCAUUGUGUUCCUGUGAGGGGGCUGAUGGGAUGGGGAAGGUCACCAUGUACACAUGAUGAGACAGAGAAGGUCAUUGUGUUCCCGUGUAGGGGCUGUUGGGAUGGGGAAGGUCACCAUGUACACAUGAUGAGACAGAGAAGGUCAUUGUGUUCCUGUGAGGGGGCUGAUGGGAUGGGGAAGGUCACCACGUACACAUGAUGAGACAGAGAAGGUCAUUGUGUUCCUGUGAGGGGGCUGAUGGGAUUGUGAAGGUCACCAUGUACACAUGAUGAGACAGAGAAGGUCAUUGUGUUCCCGUGAGGGGGCUGAUGGGAUUGUGAAGGUCACCAUGUACACAUGAUGAGACAGAGAAGGUCAUUGUGUUCCCAUGUAGGGGCUGUUGGGAUGGGGAAGGUCACCACGUACACAUGAUGAGACAGAGAAGGUCAUUGUGUUCCUGUGAGGGGGCUGAUGGGAUUGUGAAGGUCACCAUGUACACAUGAUGAGACAGAGAAGGUCAUUGUGUUCCUGUGAGGGGGCUGAUGGGAUGGGGAAGGUCACCAUGUACACAUGAUGAGACAGAGAAGGUCAUUGUGUUCCCGUGAGGGGGCUGAUGGGAUUGUGAAGGUCACUAUGUACACAUGAUGAUACAGAGAAGGUCAUUGUGUUCCAUUGUAGGGGCUGAUGGGAUGGGGAAGGUCACCAUGUACACAUGAUGAGACAGAGAAGGUCAUUGUGUUCCUGUGAGGGGGCUGAUGGGAUGGGGAAGGUCACCACAUACACAUGAUGAGACAGAGAAGGUCAUUGUGUUCCUGUGCAGGGGCUGAUGGGAUGGGGAAGGUCACCACAUACACAUGAUGAGACAGAGAAUGUCAUUGUGUUCCCGUGUAGGGGCUGUUGGGAUGGGGAAGGUCACCAUGUACACAUGAUGAGACAGAGAAGGUCAUUGUGUUCCCGUGUGGGGGCUGUUGGGAUGGGGAAGGUCACCAUGUACACAUGAUGAGACAGAAAAGGUCAUUGGGUUCCCGUCAGGGGGCUGAUGGGAUGGGGAAGGUCACCAUGUACACAUGAUGAGACAGAGAAGGUCAUUGUGUUCCCAUGUGGGGGCUGAUGGGAUUGUGAAGGUCACCAUGUACACAUAAUGAGACAGAGAAGGUCAUUGUGUUCCCGUGUAGGGGCUGUUGGGAUGGGGAAGGUCACUAUGUACACAUGAUGAGACAGAGAAGGUCAUUGUGUUCCUGUGUAGGGGCUGUUGGGAUGGGGAAGGUCACUAUGUACACAUGAUGAUACAGAGAAUGUCAUUGUGUUCCCGUGUAGGGGCUGUUGGGAUGGGGAAGGUCACCAUGUACACAUGAUGAGACAGAGAAGGUCAUUGUGUUCCCGUGUGGGGGCUGUUGGGAUGGGGAAGGUCACCAUGUACACAUGAUGAGACAGAAAAGGUCAUUGUGUUCCCGUGUAGGGGCUGUUGGGAUGGGGAAGGUCACCACGUACACAUGAUGAGACAGAGAAGGUCAUUGUGUUCCUGUGAGGGGGCUGAUGGGAUUGUGAAGGUCACCAAGUACACAUGAUGAGACAGAGAAGGUCAUUGUGUUCCCGUGUAGGGGCUGUUGGGAUGGGGAAGGUCACCAAGUACACAUGAUGAGACAGAGAAGGUCAUUGUGUUCCCGUGUAGGGGCUGAUGGGAUUGUGAAGGUCACCAUGUACACAUGAUGAGACAGAGAAGGUCAUUGUGUUCCCGUGUAGGGGCUGUUGGGAUGAGGAAGGUCACCACGUACACAUGAUGAGACAGAGAAGGUCAUUGUGUUCCCAUGUGGGGGCUGUUGGGAUGGGGAAGGUCACCAAGUACACAUGAUGAGACAGAGAAGGUCAUUGUGUUCCCGUGUAGGGGCUGUUGGGAUGGGGAAGGUCACCAAGUACACAUGAUGAGACAGAGAAGGUCAUUGUGUUCCCGUGUAGGGGCUGAUGGGAUUGUGAAGGUCACCAUGUACACAUGAUGAGACAGAGAAGGUCAUUGUGUUCCCGUGUAGGGGCUGUUGGGAUGGGGAAGGUCACCACGUACACAUGAUGAGACAGAGAAGGUCAUUGUGUUCCCAUGUGGGGGCUGAUGGGAUUGUGAAGGUCACCACGUACACAUGAUGAGACAGAGAAGGUCAUUGUGUUCCCAUGUCGGGGCUGAUGGGAUGGGGAAGGUCACCAUGUACACAUGAUGAGACAGAGAAGGUCAUUGUGUUCCAUUGUAGGGGCUGAUGGGAUGGGGAAGGUCACGAUGUACACAUGAUGAGACAGAGAAGGUCAUUGUGUUCCCGUGUAGGGGCUGUUGGGAUGGGGAAGGUCACUAUGUACACAUGAUGAGACAGAGAAGGUCAUUGUGUUCCCGUGUAGGGGCUGAUGGGAUUGUGAAGGUCACCAUGUACACAUGAUGAGACAGAGAAGGUCAUUGUGUUCCCGUGUAGGGGCUGUUGGGAUGGGGAAGGUCACCACGUACACAUGAUGAGACAGAGAAGGUCAUUGUGUUCCCGUGUAGGGGCUGUUGGGAUGGGGAAGGUCACUAUGUACACAUGAUGAGACAGAGAAGGUCAUUGUGUUCCCGUGUAGGGGCUGAUGGGAUUGUGAAGGUCACCAUGUACACAUGAUGAGACAGAGAAGGUCAUUGUGUUCCUGUGAGGGGGCUGAUGGGAUGGGGAAGGUCACUAUGUACACAUGAUGAGACAGAGAAGGUCAUUGUGUUCCCGUCAGGGGGCUGAUGGGAUAGGGAAGGUCACCACGUACACAUGAUGAGACAGAGAAGGUCAUUGUGUUCCCGUGAGGGGGCUGAUGGGAUGGGGAAGGUCACCACGUACACAUGAUGAGACAGAGAUGGUCAUUGUGUUCCCGUGAGGGGGCCGAUGGGAUGGGGAAGGUCACCAUGUACACAUGAUGAGACAGAGAAGGUCAUUGUGUUCCCGUGUAGGGGCUGAUGGGAUUGUGAAGGUCACCAUGUACACAUGAUGAGACAGAGAAGGUCAUUGUGUUCCUGUGAGGGGGCUGAUGGGAUGGGGAAGGUCACCAUGUACACAUGAUGAGACAGAGAAGGUCAUUGUGUUCCCAUGUAGGGGUUGUUGGGAUUGUGAAGGUCACCAUGUACACAUGAUGAGACAGAGAAGGUCAUUGUGUUCCUGUGAGGGGGCUGAUGGGAUUGUGAAGGUCACCAUGUACACAUGAUGAGACAGAGAAGGUCAUUGUGUUCCUGUGAGGGGGCUGAUGGGAUGGGGAAGGUCACCAUGUACACAUGAUGAGACAGAGAAGGUCAUUGUGUUCCCGUGUAGGGGCUGUUGGGAUGGGGAAGGUCACCAUGUACACAUGAUAAGACAGAGAAGGUCAUUGUGUUCCCGUGUAGGAGCUGUUGGGAUGGGGAAGGUCACCAUGUACACAUGAUGAGACAGAGAAGGUCAUUGUGUUCCCGUGAGGGGGCUGAUGGGAUGGGGAAGGUCACCAUGUACACAUGAUGAGACAGAGAAGGUCAUUGUGUUCCUGUGAGGAGGCUGAUGGGAUGGGGACGGUCACCAUGUACACAUGAUGAGACAGAGAAGGUCAUUGUGUUCCCGUGUAGGGGCUGUUGGGAUGGGGAAGGUCACCAUGUACACAUGAUGAGACAGAGAAGGUCAUUGUGUUCCCAUGUGGGGGCUGAUGGGAUUGUGAAGGUCACCAUGUACACAUGAUGAGAUAGAGAAGGUCAUUGUGUUCCCGUGUAGGGGCUGUUGGGAUGGGGAAGGUCACUAUGUACACAUGAUGAGACAGAGAAGGUCAUUGUGUUCCCGUGUAGGGACUGAUGGGAUUGUGAAGGUCACCAUGUACACAUGAUGAGACAGAGAAGGUCAUUGUGUUCCCGUGAGGGGGCUGUUGGGAUGGGGAAGGUCACCAUGUACACAUGAUGAGACAGAGAAGGUCAUUGUGUUCCCGUGUAGGGGCUGUUGGGAUGGGGAAGGUCACCACGUACACAUGAUGAGACAGAGAAGGUCAUUGUAUUCCCAUGUGGGGGCUGAUGGGAUUGUGAAGGUCACCACGUACACAUGAUGAGACAGAGAAGGACGUUGUGUUCCCAUGUGGGGGCUGAUGGGAUGGGGAAGGUCACCAUGUACACAUGAUGAGACAGAGAAGGUCAUUGUGUUCCAUUGUAGGGGCUGAUGGGAUGGGGAAGGUCACCAUGUACACAUGAUGAGACAGAGAAUGUCAUUGUGUUCCCGUGUAGGGGCUGUUGGGAUGGGGAAGGUCACUAUGUACACAUAAUGAGACAGAGAAGGUCAUUGUGUUCCUGUGUAGGGGCUGAUGGGAUUGUGAAGGUCACCAUGUACACAUGCUGAGACAGAGAAGGUCAUUGUGUUCCCGUGUAGGGGCUGUUGGGAUGGGGAAGGUCACCAUGUACACAUGAUGAGACAGAGAAGGUCAUUGUGUUCCCAUGUAGGGGCUGUUGGAAUGGGGAAGGUCACCAUGUACACAUGAUGAGACAGAGAAGGUCAUUGUGUUCCCGUGUAGGGGCUGAUGGGAUGGGGAAGGUUACCACGUACACUUGAUGAGACAGAGAAGGUCAUUGUGUUCCCGUGUAGGGGCUGUUGGGAUGGGGAAGGUCACUAUGUACACAUGAUGAGACAGAGAAGGUCAUUGUGUUCCUGUGAGGGGGCUGAUGGGAUGGGGAAGGUCACCAUGUACACAUGAUGAGACAGAGAAGGUCAUUGUGUUCCUGUGAGGAGGCUGAUGGGAUGGGGAAGGUCACCAUGUACACAUGAUGAGACAGAGAAGGUCAUUGUGUCCCUGUGAGGGGGCUGAUGGGAUGGGGAAGGUCACCAUGUACACAUGAUGAGACAGAGAAGGUCAUUGUGUUCCCGUGAGGGGGCUGAUGGGAUUGUGAAGGUCACUAUGUACACAUGAUGAUACAGAGAAGGUCAUUGUGUUCCAUUGUAGGGGCUGAUGGGAUGGGGAAGGUCACCAUGUACACAUGAUGAGACAGAGAAGGUCAUUGUGUUCCUGUGAGGGGGCUGAUGGGAUGGGGAAGGUCACCACAUACACAUGAUGAGACAGAGAAGGUCAUUGUGUUCCUGUGCAGGGGCUGAUGGGAUGGGGAAGGUCACCACAUACACAUGAUGAGACAGAGAAUGUCAUUGUGUUCCCGUGUAGGGGCUGUUGGGAUGGGGAAGGUCACCAUGUACACAUGAUGAGACAGAGAAGGUCAUUGUGUUCCCGUGUGGGGGCUGUUGGGAUGGGGAAGGUCACCAUGUACACAUGAUGAGACAGAAAAGGUCAUUGGGUUCCCGUCAGGGGGCUGAUGGGAUGGGGAAGGUCACCAUGUACACAUGAUGAGACAGAGAAGGUCAUUGUGUUCCCAUGUGGGGGCUGAUGGGAUUGUGAAGGUCACCAUGUACACAUAAUGAGACAGAGAAGGUCAUUGUGUUCCCGUGUAGGGGCUGUUGGGAUGGGGAAGGUCACUAUGUACACAUGAUGAGACAGAGAAGGUCAUUGUGUUCCCGUGUAGGGGCUGAUGGGAUUGUGAAGGUCACCAUGUACACAUGAUGAGACAGAGAAGGUCAUUGUGUUCCCGUGUAGGGGCUGUUGGGAUGAGGAAGGUCACCACGUACACAUGAUGAGACAGAGAAGGUCAUUGUGUUCCCAUGUGGGGGCUGUUGGGAUGGGGAAGGUCACCAAGUACACAUGAUGAGACAGAGAAGGUCAUUGUGUUCCCGUGUAGGGGCUGUUGGGAUGGGGAAGGUCACCAAGUACACAUGAUGAGACAGAGAAGGUCAUUGUGUUCCCGUGUAGGGGCUGAUGGGAUUGUGAAGGUCACCAUGUACACAUGAUGAGACAGAGAAGGUCAUUGUGUUCCCGUGUAGGGGCUGAUGGGAUUGUGAAGGUCACCAUGUACACAUGAUGAGACAGAGAAGGUCAUUGUGUUCCCGUGUAGGGGCUGUUGGGAUGGGGAAGGUCACCACGUACACAUGAUGAGACAGAGAAGGUCAUUGUGUUCCCGUGUAGGGGCUGUUGGGAUGGGGAAGGUCACCACGUACACAUGAUGAGACAGAGAAGGUCAUUGUGUUCCCGUGUAGGGGCUGAUGGGAUUGUGAAGGUCACCAUGUACACAUGAUGAGACAGAGAAGGUCAUUGUGUUCCCGUGUAGGGGCUGUUGGGAUGGGGAAGGUCACCACGUACACAUGAUGAGACAGAGAAGGUCAUUGUGUUCCCGUGUAGGGGCUGAUGGGAUGGGGAAGGUCACCAUGUACACAUGAUGAGACAGAGAAGGUCAUUGUGUUCCCGUGAGGGGGCUGAUGGGAUUGUGAAGGUCACUAUGUACACAUGAUGAUACAGAGAAGGUCAUUGUGUUCCAUUGUAGGGGCUGAUGGGAUGGGGAAGGUCACCAUGUACACAUGAUGAGACAGAGAAGGUCAUUGUGUUCCUGUGAGGGGGCUGAUGGGAUGGGGAAGGUCACCACAUACACAUGAUGAGACAGAGAAGGUCAUUGUGUUCCUGUGCAGGGGCUGAUGGGAUGGGGAAGGUCACCACAUACACAUGAUGAGACAGAGAAUGUCAUUGUGUUCCCGUGUAGGGGCUGUUGGGAUGGGGAAGGUCACCAUGUACACAUGAUGAGACAGAGAAGGUCAUUGUGUUCCCGUGUGGGGGCUGUUGGGAUGGGGAAGGUCACCAUGUACACAUGAUGAGACAGAAAAGGUCAUUGGGUUCCCGUCAGGGGGCUGAUGGGAUGGGGAAGGUCACCAUGUACACAUGAUGAGACAGAGAAGGUCAUUGUGUUCCCAUGUGGGGGCUGAUGGGAUUGUGAAGGUCACCAUGUACACAUAAUGAGACAGAGAAGGUCAUUGUGUUCCCGUGUAGGGGCUGUUGGGAUGGGGAAGGUCACUAUGUACACAUGAUGAGACAGAGAAGGUCAUUGUGUUCCUGUGUAGGGGCUGUUGGGAUGGGGAAGGUCACUAUGUACACAUGAUGAUACAGAGAAUGUCAUUGUGUUCCCGUGUAGGGGCUGUUGGGAUGUGGAAGGUCACCAUGUACACAUGAUGAGACAGAGAAGGUCAUUGUGUCCCUGUGUAGUGGCUGUUGGGAUGGGGAAGGUCACCAUGUACACAUGAUGAGACAGAGAAGGUCAUUGUGUUCCCGUGUAGGGGCUGUUGGGAUGGGGAAGGUCACCACGUACACAUGAUGAGACAGAGAAGGUCAUUGUGUUCCUGUGAGGGGGCUGAUGGGAUUGUGAAGGUCACCAAGUACACAUGAUGAGACAGAGAAGGUCAUUGUGUUCCCGUGUAGGGGCUGUUGGGAUGGGGAAGGUCACCAAGUACACAUGAUGAGACAGAGAAGGUCAUUGUGUUCCCGUGUAGGGGCUGAUGGGAUUGUGAAGGUCACCAUGUACACAUGAUGAGACAGAGAAGGUCAUUGUGUUCCCGUGUAGGGGCUGUUGGGAUGAGGAAGGUCACCACGUACACAUGAUGAGACAGAGAAGGUCAUUGUGUUCCCAUGUGGGGGCUGUUGGGAUGGGGAAGGUCACCAAGUACACAUGAUGAGACAGAGAAGGUCAUUGUGUUCCCGUGUAGGGGCUGUUGGGAUGGGGAAGGUCACCAAGUACACAUGAUGAGACAGAGAAGGUCAUUGUGUUCCCGUGUAGGGGCUGAUGGGAUUGUGAAGGUCACCAUGUACACAUGAUGAGACAGAGAAGGUCAUUGUGUUCCCGUGUAGGGGCUGUUGGGAUGGGGAAGGUCACCACGUACACAUGAUGAGACAGAGAAGGUCAUUGUG